rnacentral:rRNA from 1 species
UACGAGGGGGCGAGCGUUGUUCGGAAUUAUUGGGCGUAAAGGGUGCGUAGGCGGUUUGGUAAGUCUUAUGUGAAAUCUACAGGCUCAACUUGUAGUCUGCAUGAGAAACUGCCGGGCUUGAGUAUGGGAGAGGUGAGUGGAAUUCCUGGUGUAGCGGUGAAAUGCGUAGAUAUCAGGAGGAACACCUGUGGCGAAAGCGGCUCACUGGACCAUAACUGACGCUGAUGCACGAAAGCUAGGGGGAGCAAACAGGG